rnacentral:rRNA from 1 species
GUCUACAGCCAUGCCACCCUGAAUGUGCCCGAUCUUGUCUGAUCUCAGAAGCUAAGCAGGGUCAGGCCUGGUUAGUUCUUGGAUGGGAGACCACCUAGGAAGACCAGGUGUAUAGACA